rnacentral:rRNA from 1 species
ACCAGACUCCUACGGGAGGCAGCAGUGGGGAAUAUUGGGCAAUGGGCGCAAGCCUGGCCCAGCAACGCCGCGUGCAGGAAGAAGGUUUUCGGAUUGUAAACUGCUUUAGACGGGGAAGAAACAAGACAGUACCUGUAGAAUAAGCUCCGGCUAACUACGUGCCAGCAGCCGCGGUAAUACGUAGGGAGCAAGCGUUAUCCGGAUUUAUUGGGUGUAAAGGGUGCGUAGACGGGAAGGCAAGUUGGUUGUGAAAUCCCUCGGCUUAACUGAGGAACUGCAACCAAAACUAUCUUUCUUGAGUGCUGGAGAGGAAAGUGGAAUUCCUAGUGUAGCGGUGAAAUGCGUAGAUAUUAGGAGGAACACCAGUGGCGAAGGCGACUUUCUGGACAGUAACUGACGUUGAGGCACGAAAGUGUGGGGAGCAAACAGGAUUAGAUACCCGAGUAU